AUCAGUAGUAGUAUCAGUAGUAUCAGUAGUAGUAUCGGGUAGUAUCAGUAGUAUCAGUAGUAGUAUCAGUAGUAUCAGUAGUAGUAUCAGUAGUACCAGCCAGUAGUAUCAGUAGUAUCAGUAGUAGUAUCAGUAGUACCAGCAGUAGUAUCAGUAGUACAGCAGUAGUAUCAGUAGUAUCAGUAGUAGUAUCAGUAGUACCAGCAGUAGUAUCAGUAGUAUCAGUAGUAGUAUCAGUAGUAUCAGUAGUAGUAUCAGUAGUAUCAGUAGUAGUAUCAGUAGUACCAGCAGUAGUAUCAGUAGUACCAGCAGUAGUAUCAGUAGUAUCAGUAGUAGUAUCAGUAGUAUCAGUAGUACCAGUAGUAGUAUCAGCAGUAGUAUCAGUAGUAUCAGUAGUACCAGUAGUAGUAUCAAUAGUAGUAUUAGUAGUAUCAGUAGUACCAGUAGUAGUAUCAGUAGUAGUAUCAGUAGUAGUAUCAGCAGUAGUAUCAGCAGUAGUAUCAGCAGUAGUAUCAGUAGUACCAGUAGUAGUAUCAGUAGUAGUAUCAGUAGUAUCAGUAGUAUCGGUAGUAGUAUCAGUAGUAUCAGUAGUAGUAUCAGUAGUACCAGUAGUAUCAGUAGUACCAGUAGUAUCUGUAGUAUCAGUAGUAGUAUCAGUAGUACCAGUAGUAUCAGUCGUAGUAUCAGUAGUACCAGUAGUAUCAGUCGUAGUAUCAGUAGUACCAGUAGUAUCAGUAGUAUCAGUCGUAUCAGUAGUAGUAUCAGUAGUAGUAUCA